UUUCCCCCUGAGGGAAGUAUACCUGUCCUGCCAGCCUUGGUCUCUGGCAGGGAAGGUCCUUCCAACAGAGAGGGGAUUGCUUAGAAUUGACUCAACACUGCCUCCUUGCUGAAUGGAUAAUUCAAGCAAACAACUCAAGAGCUGGAUGCUGCCCAGACAGGUAGGCAGCCAGAUAAAGUGAGUGUCCAGGGAAAGAGCAGUAAGGGUCAGAAGAGAAAGAGCCUGGUGUUCUCACUGCCUCCUGCCUUCCUUAUGACUGUCUGUUCAGAAGUCCUCCUAGCAUCUUUCUUCUGCCUUCCCCUGCUCCUGUCCCUGAAACCUUUUCUUCAAAAGAAGUGGAAAAGAGGAACUGGGAACCCAUAUAGCAACAGCAUCACCUGGAAUGAAUUCCUUUAGAACAUACUGUCUUGGAAAUCUGAAGCCUGCAGGGCUGGACAGGCAAGAAGAGCAGUGAGCACUGCAUGAACCUGCAUGUACUCCGAAAUAUUUUUCAAAUGGAAAAGAAAACAGAGAACACAAUUUUCAAAAUAUCUAGAGCCCUCCAAGAAGUCUUUGUAGAGAUCUAUAAAAUCUCAAGGCAAUUUAAAGGAUAGAAAAAUGUUUUAGAAACACUAUUCUCUCCACAUCCUGGGGCAGCAGCCUUCUCCAAAGAAACAGAAAGAAGGA
rnacentral:lncRNA from 1 species